rnacentral:hammerhead_ribozyme from 2 species
ACUCAUCUGACGAGUUCUGAAUAGGACGAAACUCGUGUCCUGAAU